CAAAGACCAAGUUAAUUAGCUGAAGGCUGACCUCAGAGGAUACUCAUUAGGCCAAGUGUUUCCAACUGCACAUUGCAAAGUGAUGGAAAUGGACGCCUGAACACCCGAGUUCUGCACUCCUCCGGGUGUUCACCCUCAGCAGGCUCCUCAAAAAUGCAACUGUAGCGGAUAUAACCUCUCAUUUAGGGGUUGUUAUAAACCUUUCUCCAGUCUCAGGCCACAGAUGGUCUACUGAGUUCCACCGAGAAGAAAAAUUUCUGCAGCGCUUGCUCUCCUGGCCCUCAGGUGAAUGAACAUGGUCCAGUAGGCUCACACCACCCUGCUGACCUUGGGCCUUCAUUGCGAGCCACGUGACGCAUGUUUAGGGUGCCUAAGACAUGUAAUGCCUCAGCUUGGGCUAAGGCGGGAGCCUCUCUGCAGGUCUCCAGUGUGCUGCCCAGGAAUGCUCAUCACCAUCUCAGAAUCCAAAGUGGACAUAUUUAUAGUGUCUCCUGACUUUGAAAGGAGUUAAGAGCAGAGAGCAGAAAAUAGUUGGUCUGAAUGGGAAAUGAAAAUCAAAUAUUCUCUUAUUCUAAAGGGCACUGUGAACAAGAAUUAAUAAUGUAAGAUGCAAGACAUGCUAUAUAGCACUCUGAAAAAAUAUGAUGCCUACGUAUUUAGUUUAAGGCAAAAUGGCCUCGAACCCAGCCCCGGAGAGACAGCAGUGAACAGAACAGCAACCCCAGCCCCAGGGAGUUUACCUUCUCUGAAGGGAGACAGGAAAUAACAGAUAAGAUGUUGUCUUGCGCCCAGGGCAGCUGUGAGUGUGUGAACGCCUCAUCAGCGAUUGCAGACACUGCCCAAAUGGAUCUCCAGAGACUCUGCUUCUGUGAGGCCACCUAAACUAUGAUCCCAUAAAAUUAAAAUGAUGAGAUGGAAAACCACAGAAAGCACCACACACCUGGCAGCUGAGCGGAACUUUGUGUUGCCAAAGGGGCCCAGGCCUGGGCUUCUGCCAUGUGAUUCCCUGCCCACCUUCUACCCAGAGGGGACUGCUAAUUUUUAAAAAUAGGUUUAAUACAGUCGUACACUCUAAUGUACUCUGUACUAUCUUCUUCCUGUGGGUGCACUUUUCAACUGUUACAAGAAGUUCAGUCCCUUGUGAAGCAUGAGUUUGUAAAGAUUUAUAUCAGUUUUGUUGUCUCUGUUAAUUUUAACCAAGUGGUGUAUCCUGAUAUAUGAUAUGAAUUUAGAGUUAGUAGAUCUCAUUUCUGGAGAAGGAAAUGGCAACCCACUCCAGUGUUCUUGCCUGGAGAAUCCCAGGGAUGGGGGAGCCUGGUGGGCUGCCGUCUAUGGGGUCGCACAGAGUCAGACACGACUGAAGUGACUUAGCAGCAGCAGCAGCAGCAGAUCUCGUUUCAACACUCUAGAGUUUGGAAAGUGUCCCAGAAGCCAGUAAGAAACCAAGCUUCUGCAGAACUGUGGGCAGGUGCUUUCACCUCUGUUUUCUCAUCUGUCACCAGGGCACUACUAUGGCCAUACAAGUCUGUAUACAAGUGUCAUACAAUUUCAAGGAGACUGUUCACAUCGUAACUGAACAACAAAGCGGUCUGUCUGUAACAGGAAGAUAGGAUGCAUCAUCUCAGUCACUCAGUAGUGUCUGACUCUUUGUGACCCCAUGGACUGUAUCCAACCAGGCUCCUCUGUCCAUGGGAUUCUUCAGGCAAGAAUACUGGACUGGGUUGCCAUCGGGCAUCUGUAUUAUGCAUAACCUGGAUCUGUCCAAUGGCAGAGAUGCUUGCUCAACCAUGAAGAUCAAAUUUUCUCCUCCUGGUGCCAGCCCUGCCACUCCUUAAAAGAUUGCAGCCCACCAGGCUCCUCUGUCCAUGGGAUUCUCCAGGCAAGAAUACUGGAAUGGUUGCCAUGCCCUCCUCCAGGAGGUAUUCCUGACCCAGGGAUCAGACCCACGUCUCAUAUCUCCUGCAUUGGCAGGGCAAGAACCUUGACUCUUUAUGGACAUGUCCUAAAUGCCUAGCACAAUGGCUCAUCUAUAACAGACUGUUGAUGGUGUUACUGAAUUAUGUCCUGCUGAUUUUGGAAUCUUGAUCAUUGAUGUGGCUAAUAUAUCAAUAAAAGUGGGGAAAAUGUUAGUCACUCAGUUGUGUCUGACUCUGUGACCCCAUGGACUGUAGCCCACCAGGCUUCUCUGUCUGUGGAAGUCUCCAGGCAAGAAUACUGGAGUGGACUGACAUUCCCUCCUCCAGAGGAUCGUCCCCACCCAGGGACUGAACCUGGGUUAUAACUAAUUAAAUGUGGCUAAUUAUAUCAUUAAUUAAUGUGGCUAAAAUAUAUCAUUAAAUGGUAUAAUUUUCUAUAAUAUACAGUAAUGGUGCUUACUAUAUGACUUUUGUGUUUAUAUCCAUUUAUAAUAUAUCAAGGCAUAACUCCAGGUUCUUUGAAGGACACUGCUUAAUAAAGAGCAGUGAAAACUGAGGAGUUGAUGGAAAUUCUGACAUUACUUCCACCUUCUUUCCCCUACCACUGCUCUUACCAUCCACAAGAAAUUGUUCAUGACCUCAAUUUGGAGUCAUCUUUUACUCAGGAAUAUCGCAUCUGUAACAGAGUCGGGAUAUACUCUGUGACUCUUUUAACCGAAACAGAAUAGCAGAAGUGAGUUGUGCCAGUUUCUGAGACAAGGCUGUAAAAGACUGGCCGCUUUUACACCCUGUCUCUUGGAGCGUAUCUUGAAUCUUCACCUCAGGGAGGAGUUAGCUGCUGUGCGUGAAGCCUGACUAUACUGACACAGCCAUGGGUGAAGACUACGUGCUAAGUCUUUGCUGGCCCAGCCAUCCCAACCUGGGCACCAAGACCAGUAGUCAAGGAGCCAUGUUAGGCCUCCUAAUCCCAGCAAACAUGCCAAGAAGAAAAAUGAAGAUCCCAGACAUACGGCCUCAGUCUAGCCAUCCCAGCAGCUCCCAGCUAUUCAAGCAACCCCAGCUGUGGCCACAAACGUCAUGUAUCAGACUCUCAAGCUGUCCCUGCUGUGCUGGCUCUAAUCCCUGACCCACAGAAUCAUAGGCAUCAUGGACAUAGUAAGAGUUUCACAGGUUUCCCUGGUGACUCAGUUGGUAGAGUCUGCCUGCAGCGCGGGAGACCUGGCUUCAAUCACUGGGUCGGGAAGAUCCCCUGGAGAAGGAAAUGGCAACCCACUCCAGCAUUCUUGUCUGGAGAAUUCCCCAUACAGAGGAGUCUGGUGGGCUAUAGUUCAUGGGGUCACAAAGAGUCAGACACAAGUGAGUGACAAAUGCUUUUAUUUAGUAAAAUUAAAAAUAUAAACAUAGACAACAUAUAAACUUAAAAGAUAUAUCAAAUAGUUUUUUAAAUAAUAUUCAAUUUGUUUUAAUGUCUAUGUGAUUAAGACUAUAAGGUCAUUGAAUGUUUGACUUAGGAGAAAUCAUAUUAUGGAUUAGUAGUAGUAGUGUUGGUAUUGUUUUUAAGAUGAGUGACUUUCCCACCAGAACAGAUUUGAAGCAUGCAGUAUAUUCACUCAUAUGUUCCCAGAUCCCAGUCCUUUCACUAGACCACAGUAGGUGUUUAACAAAUGUUUACUAAAAUAAGAAAUGAAGUAUGAGAUAAAUACUUAAGUAGAAAACUCUCCUUUUGUUUUAAUAUCUUUAUCUUGGACAUCCUAAAACAUGUUGCAAAGAGUUGCAGUGCACCAGCAGAGUGCAUCUGAGGUAUUCAAUAUUAAACCAAAAAUUCAGAUAUAUAAUAACAGUGGACACUGAUGAAUGCCUCCUAAAUGCCAGACAUUAGAGUUGAUGCAUUCCUUCCUACUAACUGACAUUCUUUUUAUUCUCAAUUUUACACACAAGAACAACAGUGAGGCUCAGAAAAAUAAUAUACCUGAUAUUGUAAAAAGUUUUCAUGUGACUUCAGCACCUAAGUGCCUAAUACUGCUUCAUUCUUAGACUGUUUUACACAAUAACAUUAUUUACUAAACAAAUUAAUAUAAAAUGUCAAUAAAUUAACUUUAUUUUCUAAAUAAAAUAACACAAUUUGACCACAUUGACCAUGAAGAAUAGGACCUAAAGAACACAAAAGUAAGAAAAGUCAGUAAUCUUUAUUCUGCCCAUUUCUUCUUUAUUGUGGGCCACAUUUGUAUGAUGGUUAUUAUACCUGCCUGUUAUAAAAGACUAAUCAGUGGUUAAAACCAAAUUAAAGAUUCUCAUACAAAGAAUUUUCAGAGAAAUCAACUUCUGAUCCAAAAAAAACUUCCUUUAACCAAAUCUUAAACCUCAUUCCAUCAUUGUUUUCUACUCUAUAAUUUUAAGGAUUCAGAAGAUAUGAUAGUAUAUUCCAAAGACUUCAGGUAGCAAAUGAAAGAGGUGAAAAAUUAAAACUAGAGGGGAAAUUUUAAAAAAAAUUUUUAAUAUUAAUAGUAGUGAGCACAUUCAGAUUUAUGCCUGAUUUUAUAUAUAUAUAUAGAGAGAGAGAGAUAGAUUUAUAAAAUAUUUGUAUGCUUGCUAUAUUAAUUUAGUAUACAUACAUAAAUUUCUGUAUUAAUUAUAUAUAUAUAACUUGUAAAUAUAGUUUUGAUAACAAAAUUGGUAUACAGGUCAAUAAGAAAUUAGGGAGGAAGCAUGCUUUAUGAGGAAGCAUGCUUUUUGGAGUAGAAUGUGGCAACCCACUCCAAUAUUCUUGCCUGGACAGAGGACCCUGGUGGGCUACAGUCUGUGGGGCCGCAAAGAGUUGGACAUGACUAAGUAACAGAGCACAUGCUUUACAAACGGCUAGUUUUAAUGAGUCUUCUUGAUCUAAACAGAAAAGUAUCAAAACUCUUCAUUUUCUCAUUACAUAUGUUUAUUCUGUGUUUUAACUUAUGGCAGAAAUGUUUCAUAGGAACUAUUCACUUUCUAUUACUGUGACUGUAUUUUUUAAAUUAAUUGUACUGGUUCUUUGCCCACUAAACAUUAAUAAGCAUGAAGAAUCAUUAUGUUCUAUAUAAGAAUGUUGAAAAAUGUAGAUUUUCUCAAGAGAGAUGAAUAACAACUUUCACUAUAGUCUUGAAAAUAAAACAAAAGCCAGGACAUGGAAGCAACCUAGAUGUCCAUCAGCAGAUGAAUGGAUAAGAAAGCUGUGGUACAUAUACACAAUGGAGUAUUACUCAGCCAUUAAAAAGAAUACAUUUGAAUCAGUUCUAAUGAGGUGGAUGAAACUGGAGCCUAUUAUACAGAGUGAAGUAAGCCAGAAGGAAAAACACCAAUACAGUAUACUAACACAUAUAUAUGGAAUUUAGAAAGAUGGUAACGAUAACCCUGUAUACGAGACAGCAAAAGAGACACUGACGUAUAGAACAGUCUUAUGGACUUUGUGGGA
ensembl:lncRNA